CCAUCAACUGAUCAAUAAUAUUUUUACUCAACGAAAACUCUCUUAAAGGAACUUGCAUAUCUAAAAUACGGGCAAAGUCUUCUUCCUUGGCCAAGUUACACAACAACAUACAGCUCAAAUCAGCCAAUCCAUGCAAUGGGUUUGUCACAAUGCUAAAAAUGAGCUGCAGAAAUUCAUCAUCCAUCAACACUUUACGAACUUUCUCAUUUUGUGAGACAUUCACUAAAGCCGUAACAGCUUGACUUGCAAUCUGAGGCUUGUCCUUCAAUAGAGCCUUAAGGUCUUUCACCGGCUCAAAGUCAUUGUGGAACCAAAUACUAAAUUGAGGAUGAUUCCUAGCGGUGUACGGAAGCAAAUGCUGAACAGCUAACAUCCGUACCUGCGGAUUUUGAUCAU